GAUGAAGAACGCAGCGAAAUGCGAUACGUAGUGUGAAUUGCAGAAUUCAGUGAAUCAUCGAAUCUUUGAACGCACAUUGCGCCCCUUGGUAUUCCGAGGGGCAUGCCUGUUCGAGCGUCAUUAUAACCCUCAAGCUCAGCUUGGUGUUGGGGCCUGCUGCAGUGGCAGCCCUUAAAAUCAGUGGCGGCGCCAUCUGGCUCUAAGCGUAGUAAUUCUUCUCGCUAUGGAGUCCUGGUGGAUGCUUGCCAUCAACCCCCAAUUUUUCUAUGGUUGACCUCGGAUCAGGUAGGGAUACCCGCUGAACUUAAGCAUAUCAAUAAGCGGAGGA
rnacentral:misc_RNA from 1 species